CCUCAAUCAAGAGAAAAUUACAUGGUUAAUUAAAUUCGUUCUCUAAUCUGCUUUGAUCACAGAGAGUGUUACACGCAAGAGAAACCCGCCCUUUCAUUUACCAUCACGAGGGAAAAGAAGAGAUAGCAUAGUUAGGUUUGGUUUACGUUGGGCUGGGUUGGGUUUAAGUGGAAUGGGUUCCGUUUAGGUAAGGUAGGUUAGGUUAGGUUGGACUGGGUAGGGUUGUUGUUUCUAGGUUAGUUUAGGGUAUACUUUGUUAGGUUAGGGUAUACUUUGUUAGGUUAGGGUAUACUUUGCUUGGUUAGGGUAUUUUGCUAGGUUAGGGUAUACUUUGUUUGGUUAGGGUAUUUUGUUAGGUUAAGAUAUACUUUGUUUGGUUAGGGUAUACUUUGUUUGGUUAGGGUAUACUUUGUUAGGUUAGGGUAUAUUUUGUUUGGUUAAGGUAUACUUUGUUAGGUUAGGGUGUACUUUGUUUGGUUAGGGUAUACUUUGGUUUAGAUAUACUUUGGGGGCGAGUUCCGUUGGGUUGAGUAGGGUUGGGUUGGGUUGGGUUGGGUUGGGUUGGUUGGUUAGGCUGGGAUGGGAUGAGAUGGGUUGGGUUGGCUGGUUUGGCUUGGUUUGGUUAUGGCAAAGUUAUGCUGGACUUGGUUCUGUUGACUUGGAUUGGAUUAAUUUAGAUCUGGAUUUUUUUAUAACGUUAUAUUUUUUUAGGUAUUUUAGGCUAAAGUACUGAAAUAAAGGAUUCGCAUAUACCCAAAUUCCAUAGGUACAUUUUUGUACGGAACGUGAAAAUACUAGACGUUUUAUGAGCGCCGCAAAAAAUAUACCCAUUGCGAUUCCGUCAGUCGUUAAACAUUCAUGCACGUAACCUGCACGCUAAUAUCACUCAAUUAGUUGUUCUGCAUAGGCGCACCGGCACUGCGAUGAUCAUUCAGUUGUUGGAUAUACUGUUUAUGAAUAUACAUUAUACUAUCGUCUACUUUAUUAUGUUGCACUCGUUAGCACAUGCGCAAGGAUAAUAUGCUUUCAAUACGGUGCGGCAAAAGAGGAGAGACUAUAGCUAAGCAAAAUAAUAACAACAAAACAACACUCUGCUACAAUAAAAGGAAUACAUAAGACACCGAAAGAGAUAUAAGUCUGCGUUUCAUCGAUAUCUGAGUACUGAGUUGGGGAGGCGGUGGCUGAGUGGUUAGCGUGCCGGCCCCGCAUUCCGCCGCGCUGUCGAUGAUGCGGGUUCGAAUCCGCCGCUAACCACCUGGGAUUUUUCAGUCACCGCCGAGUGGCCUAAGACUACCCACAUGUCGUCCAGAAGACCACCUAUCAACCCGGAGUCUAGAAGAAUCUGUGCAGCGCAAGUGAAAUCAAGAAUGAGCUCCGGGAGGCAGCAUGAGCCAAUAAUAAUGGCGCCACUAUAAACAAUUGCCUGCGCCAUGACGGGCUCGGGCCGACCAUCAGGCCCCAAUGUAAUAGCCUACCGGCGCUAUAGGCCAGAUGUAAAAAAAUAAAAAAUAAAUCUCCUAAAAGAAAAUGAAUCACAAGGAGAAAGGACGGCUAUAUAAAUAAACAGAGCAAGGCGGAUAAUUAGACAGGCAUAUAGACAAAUACAGACGAAGGAAGAUGUCCCAGAGUUACCAGUGAACGCAACAGAAGUGAAAAUAAAUGAUAAAUGUUUCAUUUGGAAGCUGAACAGCAUUAAUGAUAUACAUAAAUACAAACGAAAGAAAGCCACUGCGGAGUUUAUUAGCAAGAAUAAUGAGUGAAGAUACAGGAUAGCCCUUAAUGGGAAAUUGUACAAAAUAAACACAAAUAAACUGCAAAAUGCUGUCAACACACACACUACAACUCUCCCUUCCAAUUAAGCGUUCCCUAAAUUACCUUACUCGCUCGUCGAUGCGCCAAAUUAACUGUAGGUAAUUGAGUAAUUAUUAAUUCACCUGAACAAAUAACACCUGAUAAACACGCAUGCGCGCGCGAGCGCACACACACACACACACACACACACACACACACACACACACACACACACACACACAUACACA